GCUUUUUGGAAAGGUGAUUAGAUUAAAUCCGAUUAGACCCUUUGUGCAACAAAUGCAUUUGAUUAGCAUUUCAUAUGAAGAUCUUUCAACAGAGAUAGCAGUUGUUAGCUUAGCUUACAUAUCAGUCUACAGCAACAAAAGUUAGCUUACACCACAACAAGCUAAGCUGCCAAAGGACGCUCCUCUGCAGUCUGUGCUGUCUUAAUAAUAACU